rnacentral:lncRNA from 1 species
AAGGGCUCCAUCAUAAAUCGUACCCUUAGUGGAUUCCAAGGUCCCUUCUACACUGCUAUAUAAAAUCCAGAUUAUCUAUUUUGAACUGGGUUAUAUGGUAGUGUAGACUCAUAUAAUCCUGUUUAAAGCAGAUAAUGUGGGUUAUAUUCUUUGAUAGGAUGGAUUAUAUAGCAGUGUAGAAGGGGUCUGAGUGUUUAGAAACGGGGAGCGGGGGCAAUGUGGGAUAAAGUCUCUAAAUAUCUUGUGAGUCCAGAUAGUAGAUCUAUCUAUCUAUCUAUCUAUCUAUCUAUCUAUCUAUCUAUCUAUCUAUAUAAAACAGGGGUCCUCAAACUUUUAAAGCAGAGGGCCGGUCCACGAUCCUUCAGACUGUUGAGGGGCCGAAUUAUCAUUUGAAAAAAAAAAAACGAACAAAUUCCUAUGCACACUGCACAUAUCUUAUUUGUAGUGCAAAACAAUAACAAUAACAAUGAAAGACCAAUACAAUAUUUAAAAAUGAAAAUAAAUUUAACCAACAUAAACCUGUCAGGAUUUCAAUAGGAAGUGUGGGCCUGCUUCUGGCCAAUGAGAUAGUCAGGUUAAUUAGGAUUAUUGUUGUUGUGUGUCUUCAAGUCAUUUCAGACUUUGGGCAAGCCGAAGUCCAAAAUUAUUUAUUUAUUCAUUUACUACAUUUAUUUACUACAUUUAUAUCCCACCUUCACACCCU